UCCAUGGCUUAGCAUUCCAUCUGCGCAGGCAGAGGUGUUCCUGGUUUGGGAAGUAUAAAUCCCGCGGGAAGUCAACUGGAGAACAUUUUACGCGUCCGUCACUCAUCCUAUUAUGAGCCUGCUGCUCUUCCUUCUCUGGACAAGCCUAAACUUUAAGAUUUGCUGAACAAACCUUGUGUCAAAUUUGGACCACCUAGACAGUAUUCCACCCUGAUUGUAUCCCAUGUCACUAUUCUGUGCAAGGCCACCGACUAGAAGAGCACAGAAUUAUUAAAAAGAAAACAAAAAAAAAAACCAAAAAAAACACAGCUGAAAGUGAACGUCUUUGGAUUUCCCAUUUAAUGAGUUGGCAGCUAAAGGACAGGAGCAGCAAUAAGGCUGCCUGG
rnacentral:lncRNA from 1 species